ensembl:lncRNA
CUCUUUGUAAUGCACCCCAGAAUGCCAUUGGCCUUCUUGGCCUCAAGGGCACACUCCUGGCUCAUGGCCAAGCUGUUGUUCACCAGAACCCCGAGGUCCUUCUUCACAGAGCUCUCCUACUGCAGGUCAUUCCCUAACCUGUUCUGAUGUAUGUGGUUAUUUCUCCCCAUUAACAUACUUGCUAAACCUCAUCAGGUUCCUCCCUGCUCAGCUCUCCAGUCUAUCCAGGUCUUGCCGAAUGGUCGUCGAUUAAGAUGUAGAACAAGACUGGACCCAGCUCCGAUGCCUGAGGAACAUCACUAGUUACAGACCUCCAACCAGACUCUGCACAGCUGAUGACAACCCUCUGAGCUCUCCCAGUCAGCCAGCUUCAGCGAAUACACCUUACUGUCCACUCAU